AAACUACUCCCUCCGUCCGGAAAUACUUGUCCUAAAGAUGAAUGUAUCUAGACUUAUUUUAGUUAUAGAUAUAUUCAUUAUAUUUAUUUUUAGGACAAGUAUUUUCGGACGGAGGGAGUACCAC
rnacentral:pre_miRNA from 1 species